UCUGAUGAAGCCUCCAACUGCAUGAUCGA
rnacentral:piRNA from 1 species